rnacentral:rRNA from 1 species
UACGUAGGUGGCAAGCGUUGUCCGGAUUUACUGGGUGUAAAGGGCGUGCAGCCGGGCUGACAAGUCAGAUGUGAAAUCCCGCGGCUCAACCGCGGAACUGCAUUUGAAACUGUCAGUCUUGAGUACCUGAGAGGUCAUCGGAAUUCCUUGUGUAGCGGUGAAAUGCGUAGAUAUAAGGAGGAACACCAGUGGCGAAGGCGGAUGACUGGACGGCAACUGACGGUGAGGCGCGAAAGCGUGGGGAGCAAACAGG